rnacentral:lncRNA from 1 species
UUCAUUUGCUGCCUCUGUAGUUCCUGAACAAACGUAUAAGGCGAACUGAUAAACAUCAAUACAGGAGGAAAGGGCAAGGCUGUGCAGUGCUGUUGUAUCCAGGCAUGCUGUAUCAGUCAGAGCACAAGCACGGCGCUGAACACUCCUGCAAACUAUGGGGACAAGUUUCCAGUGAGCUUUGCAUCGUGGGGAGAGCAAACCCCAAUCUCCUGCAAUAUAAGGUAACAUCCCUGCGAUACGUACAUCCUGCUGUGCAGCACAGCUGCAGGGCAGAGCCCGUUUCACUUCUUUCCUUUUUUGGAUCUGCGUGCACACGGUCCCUAAUGGAGCCGGAUACCAAGAACAGAAACCAAGUCACUACAGCGCCGCACGACUACCGGUGAUCCCCUCCCCUCGGCGAUAUCACCAUAAUCGCGAACCAUCCUCAAGCCCCGCACAAACCCCGUGCCCUACAGCAGCUCUAGGUACCGGGCACAGAACGAUCAGCCCGUCCCAAAGCUCCAACACAACCCACCGACCGCAAACUUAUCCCCCUCCCUGGGCUGCCCACCUUGGCGGAGGGGGCGGACCCCUGGACCCCUCCGGAGCCAAUGGCAGCGGGGAGGGCGCGGGGAGGCGG